rnacentral:rRNA from 1 species
AUACGGAGGAUGCGAGCGUUAUCCGGAUUUAUUGGGUUUAAAGGGUGCGUAGGCGGAAAGUUAAGUCAGCGGUGAAACGCAGGUGCUCAACACCUGACCUGCCGUUGAGACUGGUUUUCUAGAAUGCGGAUGCUGUGGGAGGAAUGUGUGGUGUAGCGGUGAAAUGCAUAGAUAUCACACAGAACACCGAUUGCGAAGGCAUCUCACAAAUCCGCGAUUGACGCUGAGGCACGAAGGUGCGGGGAUCGAACAGGAUUAGAUACCCUGGUAGUCCGCACAGUAAACGAUGAUAACUCGCUGUCGGCGAUAGACAGUCGGUGGCCAAGCGAAAGCGAUAAGUUAUCCACCUGGGGAGUACGACCGCAAGGUUGAAACUCAAAUGAAUUGACGGGG